rnacentral:lncRNA from 1 species
GAUCCACCCACCUCGUCCUCCCAAAGUGCUGGGAUUACAGAGUCACGUCUCUGUCUGCAUUUCAUCUUCUCUUUCCCAACAACUUUCAAGAACUGUGAAGGGUCUGAUUUGACUCAACGUCCAAGCUACCAUGUUGGUCUUCGAGGAGGCACAAGAGCCUUGGAUCAGAGACAAAAAUCUCGGUUACUCACAGCAGAGAAAUCAGUAUGAGCUUUCCUUGUGCCUGAGUUCCCCUUACUAUCCAAAUCCCAGGGGGAUGAUUUACACAGAUCCAGCAUCCUCCCAGGCCCCUGGGCUCACAACACUAACAGUGUGCCGGCUGGCAAGGAAGUCUCAGCGCAUGCAACACCAUAAUCCCACAGCGGGCAACGGGAGGCAGACUGGGGGCUGAGAACAAUAAAUUAACAAAAUAGUCAAUGGCAUUUUAAAGAAAGAUGAAGGGAUCAAGGCUGAGGUCAGUGAGUUUACAAACAAGUAAUAAUAAUUCCUUCAAUCUAACAGCCUCUUCUUCUGCAUUUCUAAUUUUCUGAAAAGUCAGUUGAGCCAUUCCAAUAGGAAAAACAUUGUAAAUGUGUAUACAAGAUGUUUGUAUCACCUCAAUCUUUUUAGCUUUCAUUAGGAGCAUUUUUUUGGUAUAAUACACAUGCUUCAAUGUAGCUUUUCUAUAUUUGGAUCAUUUCAUACAAGAAAAAUUUAAGAAUCCUUUCUUCUCUCACUGCAAAAAUAUCUCACUAAGCUCACCCAAGGAAGGCCAUCCCAUAAUAAAGCUUGUUUGAAUCACUUUCCCUGAAGGUACAUUCAAACCCAGUUAUAACAUGAUCUCCAGGAACUGCACAGGAGGAAGCUGUCUCCACCAGGAGCUGGAUCAGAUGCUGCUCGCUGUCUACCUAUUGUUGACGUCCUCCUUCCCACGUGGAUGCAACGUGAGCAGUCAGAAAGUCAAACUUCACGGAACGACAGAGGUGCCAAAACGGCAACUCCACCACCUGUCCGAAGAUCUAAGAGAACACCAGCUGUCUGACAGUGGCUUGAACAUUAUACAUUCAGCUUUUCACUUACAAAUAUAGCUGUGAAUUCACAGGGAGUAAUCCUACGUGCUGGAUCUCAUUCUCAAGUGGGAAAAUUCUAUAGAAAAACUGAUGUCAAAUUAGCCAUUUGUGGUGGUUGCUGAAGAAGACACACCAAGUCAGAUGCUCCUGACUAAGCAAGGCGAUACCCUCCAACUGAGCAUGGAAGCCCUACUGCAAUAGGAGGGCCUUCAUCAUCCACACUGGUUAGCACUUGCCACUUCUUGCUGCCAUUGCCUCUCAUACAAGAAAGUCAAGCCAGUGUAGAUCAAAAAUAAUAACAAUAAAAAUAAAAAAAUAAAAAGGUUUACCUAAUUUUAUUCAGAAGCUUUAUUAAAGAUUUUUUUUGUAUUAUCUGAUUUUUAAUCUGAUUUUUAAAAAGAUUUUUAAAAUCUUUUUACCUUUAUUAAGGUAAACUUACUUUGUUAGAUUAUCCUGAAUGUACAGUUCAAUGAGAUUUAGUAAAUUUCCAAUUGUGAAACCCUAUCAAAACCAAGUUCAGAAGAUGUCUAUCAAUCAAAAAGAAUAAGAAGCUUAUAGAAAUCUCAUAUAAAUGGGAAUAUGUAAUAGGGAGUCUUACAUGCUUGGUUUUCAUUUAGCAUAUUGCUCUUCAGAUUCUCUCCUAUAGCUGCAUGCUAUUCGUAGUUUCCUCCUUUUUAUUACUGAGUAGAUGUGUGGUUGUGUGGAUAUAACACAUUUCCUUUAUCCGUUCACCCGUCAGCACUUGCAUUGCUUCCAGUUUGAGGCCAUCACAGAAAAUACCCUGAACAUUCACAUAUAAGUCUUUUUUGUCAACAUAACAAUUACUUCUUUCCUGGAUGUGGAAUGGCUGGUGAAGAUAAGUUUAACUCAUUUAGAAACUGUCAAAGUGUUUUUCAAAGUAGCUGCAACAUUUUUUAAAUCCUCACCAGAAAUAUUGGAAAAUUCCAGUUUCUCCACAGUAUUCCAACACUUGGAAGCCUGAGUCAGUUCAUGUGAAUUUUAAUUCGACCUCUAAGUAAAAAAGAUGUGUUACAAAUGUGCAUCUUGUGAUUAUUCCAGUCGCCUGAGGAGGAAGGAGGGUGGGCAGGAUUUUUACUAAAAGUCAAAUUUUGAGGUGUUUUAAGUAGAUUUGGUAGUAGAAAAAGAUGAUCAUUUCAUUAUUUUUUUCAAUUUAUUUUUUUCCAAAUUUUCUCAUUUUUCUUCAAGACAUUACAGAAAACCUGAAGAAACAUGAAAUAAAGAAGGAAAUAAAACCCAUUCAUAACCUGCUACCCCUGAAUAAAUCCAGCAAGCUUCUUGUCCAUGCUUUCUCUUGGUCUGUGUCCAGGGUCAUGCAAUGAUUUUCCAGUCAUGACUGUGAAACAAAUCAAUUCUAAAUUUUACAGUACCUCUUACCUAUGUUCCAUUGCUACAUGGUCUUCAUAUUUAAUGUGUAAUGAAUGCCUGGUGUUUCUGUCUCUCAUUUUACUUUAAAUUAUAUGA